ensembl:lncRNA
GUGGUUGUUUUUUAAACCUGAUUUUUUAAACACAUUUUAAAAUUAAAUUGAAUAGCCUGUGUUGUGCCUGAAUAUAAUAUUGAAGCACAGGUGGAUGGAGGCGUGUUGGGUUUUCCUCUAGACCAGCCUUUCUCAACCUGUGGGUCCCCAGAUGUUGUUGAACUACAACUCCCAUCACCCCUAGCUAGCAAGGCCAGAGCUCAGGGAUGAGGGGAGUUGUAGUCCAACAACAUCUGGGGACCCACAGGCUGAGAACCGCUGCCUGGACAUUGUGUCUGUAUAAUAAUAGGAUAUGGACAAAGGGGCCUAGUUAGUGAGAUGCAAGGAUGUAGCGAAUGGGCAAUGGGAUCAGUUGUGUGGGAAAUGGAGCCUCCAUAUACAGCAGCAGCCUACCUGAACUCGGACGCAGCAAAGAGAUGUUACUUUGAUCCACGUGAAACCGUUAAAAAUGUUCCCAACGAGAGCGAAAACGCACCUUCAUUAGUAAUGUUGGUUUCAACAGAUUAAUACACUGUCUGCAAGUCGGGGCAACACAUGAAAAAACAGAUCCUGGACCUGGUGAUUUUGGAGCAGUUCCUGGCUGUCCUUCAGCGGAGAUGGAGAACUGGGUCAGAGAAUGUGGAGCAGAGUCCAGUUCCCAAAUGGGGGCCUUGACUAAAAGUUUCCUCCUGAGUCAGGCAGAGCAGCAGGUGAGCGCAAAAUUGCUGAACUCAUUCCGAAAGGAGGAAUGUGCCAAACCACAGAGACCUUUGCCUCUGUCCUUACUUUCCUCAUAAUCCUCGCCGUUCAUUGCUGUUUCAGCUCCAGGAUCUGUUUGCAGAAGUGGCCACAGAUUUCCACGGGGCAGAGAAGCUUCCCUCAGACGCCAGAGAGAAUCCCCUACAUAGGCAGUCUGUGCCAGAGAGUGACUUAGGUGACACCUCGCUGGGUGGUGGAAUAAUGCCAGCAACAACUCCUUGGGCGUCUUUUCUUCAUGGGGGAGCGGAAGAACCUGUACAAGCGACAUUUCAGGCCCAAAUUUAUUUUGAGGACGUGGCAGUGUAUUUCACAGCAGAGGAAUGGGCUCUGCUGGAUUCUGACCAGAGAGCUCUGCACAGAGAAGUCAUGGAGGAGAAUUAUCUUCUCGUCGCCUGUCUCGGUGACAGGGUGAUGCUGGCAAGACCCCCUCAGCCGUCCCUUCCUCGCGCUGGAGGGGAAGCAGUUGCUGUUGCAAACGAUCAGGUAUGGAUCAGGGAAGAAUCACUGGGGAGAAGGAGGAGCCUUCUCAUCUCCCUGGUCCGGAUGGAAAUUCUCUCCUCAUCUUUGCUUCUGUCAGAGCUGCCCAAGAGAAAGGCAGUGAUCUAUAAUGAAUUGAAAAGGAUGUUUAAAACAACGUUCUUAAAAAAUAAAAUAAAAAACCACCCAGAAGCUUUACUUUUGGGAAUUAUAGAGACAGAAUGACCUAAACUGUAUAGAAAUUUAUUUAUUUGUGCUGCUACAGCGGCAGGAAUGUUACUCGCCCCCAAUAUGGAAAGAAGUCCCAGCAAAGGAAGAACGGAUACAAAAACUUAAGGAAUAUGCGGAAAUGGCAAAACUUACCGGAAGAAUAAAAAAUCAAGAUAACAAACUUCUUUAUAUAAAAGAAUGGAAAUGGUUUAUUGAACAUUUACAGAUAAAUUGCAAACAGAUAAGAACAUUGGCAGGAUUAUUGUAAUAACCUGCAGUAUAUAUUUAAAGUAGAUUAAUAAAUGAGCAAAUUAAGUUAAUUGGGAUAUGCAGAAGAUAUUAAAAAUAAAUUUAAGGAACCGCAGAAAGAGGGAGAAGGAAGUCAAGCUUUGAAAUGUGGAAAGGAUUAUAAAAUUAGUGAAAUGUAUAAACUUGAAAAGUAUAAGUUAAAAGAGAGAGAGAGAUGAAGGCUUCCUCAGAAGGUUUAAUUUCUGUGGGAUAAUACACAGCCGUUCUCCCCUGAUGAGACUUCUGGGUUUUGCUAGCAGACGCUCUUAAUUUCUGUCAAGACACAAAUGUUUCCUUCUCUUUCAGGGUCCGUGGUCCUUUGAGGCUGUGUCUGUGUAUUUCACUGAGGAGGAGUGGGCUCUCCUGGAUCCUGACCAGAGAGCUCUUCAUAGGGAUGUCAUGGAGGAGAAUUAUCGCCUUGUCACCUCUCUCAGUAAGACUUUCUUAAGGCCAGUCAAGAGAUGGUAAAAUGUGUAACUGACGGGCAGCCCAUCUAAAUUGGAAUCUUUUGAAAAUAUGAAGUGGUUUAUAAAUGCUUUUAUAUAUACAGGCUUGACUACUGUAAUUCGCUCUAUGCGGGGCUGCCCUUGAAGCUGUCCCAGAAACUCCAGCGGGUACAGAAUGCUGCAGCGAGGCUCCUCACGGGGUCUCUGCCACGGGAGCAUAUUCACCCAGUGCUUUUCCAGCUGCACUGGCUCCCGGUGGAGUACAGGGUCAGAUUUAAGGUGCUGGUUUUUGACCUUUAAAGCCCUUCACAGCCUAGGACCCUCGUACCUAUGGGACCGCCUCUCCUGGUAUGCCCCACGGAGGACCUUAAUGUCCAUAAAUAGCAACACCCUAGUGGUCCCGAGCCCUAAGGAAGUCAGAUUAGCCUCAACCAGAGCCAGGGCCUUCUCAACACUGGCUCUGGCCUGGUGGAACGCUCUGUCUCAUGAGACCAGGGCCCUGCGGGAUCUGAUUUCUUUCCGUAGGGCCUGUAAGACAGAGUUAUUCCGCCUGCCCUUUGGCUUGGAAUCAACUUGAUUCCCUCCCCCUCUUUUCCUUUUUCCUUCUGUGAUGAAAUUCCUAUUUGGGGACUUCCCUGGCUUUUUUCUGGCCCAUGUAGGACCAGUCUGGAUAGUUGGCCUUUUGGUGGAGAUUUGACGUUUUCAUCCCCAAAAAGUUUUUUGAUUUGAGUUUCUACUGAAAUGAGGCUGCAUUUUAAUGUUGUAUUUUAAUCUUGUUUUUAAGUUGCAUUUUAAUCAAUUGUUUUUAUACUUGGUGUUAGCCGCC